ACUCAAAGGAAUUGACGGGGGCCCGCACAAGCGGUGGAGCAUGUGGUUCAAUUCGACGCAACGCGAAGAACCUUACCUGGGCUCGAACGGCUCACGAAAAGCUGUGGAAACACGGUUUUCCCGCAAGGGACGGGAGUCGAGGUGCUGCAUGGCUGUCGUCAGCUCGUGUCGUGAGAUGUUGGGUUAAGUCCCGCAACGAGCGCAACCCUUGUCCUGUGUUGCCAUCAUUUAGUUGGGAACUCGCAGGAGACCGCCAGCGAUAAGCUGGAGGAAGGUGGGGAUGACGUCAAGUCCUCAUGGCCUUUAUGUCCAGGGCUACACACGUGCUACAAUGGACGGUACAAAGCGCUGCCAACCCGCAAGGGGGAGCCAAUCGCAAAAAACCGUUCUCAGUUCGGAUUGCAGGCUGCAACUCGCCUGCAUGAAGCUGGAAUCGCUAGUAAUGCCGUAUCAGAACGAUGGCGUGAAUACGUUCCCGGGCCUUGCACACACCGCCCGU
rnacentral:rRNA from 1 species